rnacentral:rRNA from 1 species
CCUCAGUAGCGGCGAGUGAAGCGGCAAAAGCUCAAAUUUGAAAUCUGGCGUCUUUGGCGUCCGAGUUGUAAUUUGAAGAAGGUAUCUUUGGGCCCGGCUCUUGUCUAUGUUCCUUGGAACAGGACGUCACAGAGGGUGAGAAUCCCGUGCGAUGAGAUGACCCGGGUCUGUGUAAAGUUCCUUCGACGAGUCGAGUUGUUUGGGAAUGCAGCUCUAAGUGGGUGGUAAAUUCCAUCUAAAGCUAAAUAUUGGCGAGAGACCGAUAGCGAACAAGUACAGUGAUGGAAAGAUGAAAAGAACUUUGAAAAGAGAGUGAAAAAGUACGUGAAAUUGUUGAAAGGGAAGGGCUUGAGAUCAGACUUGGUAUUUUGCAUGCUGCUCUCUCGGGGGCGGCCGCUGCGGUUUACCGGGCCAGCAUCGGUUUGGAGCGGCAGGAUAAUGGCGGAGGAAUGUGGCACGGCUUCUGCUGUGUGUUAUAGCCUCUGACGAUACUGCCAGCCUAGACCGAGGACUGCGGUUUUUACCUAGGAUGUUGGCAUAAUGAUCUUAAGUCGCCCGUCUUGAACCACGGACC